GAGUGAACGCUGGCGGUAGGCCUAACACAUGCAAGUCGAACGGCAGCACAGUAAGAGCUUGCUCUUACGGGUGGCGAGUGGCGGACGGGUGAGGAAUACAUCGGAAUCUACUUUUUCGUGGGGGAUAACGUAGGGAAACUUACGCUAAUACCGCAUACGACCUACGGGUGAAAGCAGGGGAUCUUCGGACCUUGCGCGAUUGAAUGAGCCGAUGUCGGAUUAGCUAGUUGGCGGGGUAAAGGCCCACCAAGGCGACGAUCCGUAGCUGGUCUGAGAGGAUGAUCAGCCACACUGGAACUGAGACACGGUCCAGACUCCUACGGGAGGCAGCAGUGGGGAAUAUUGGACAAUGGGCGCAAGCCUGAUCCAGCCAUACCGCGUGGGCGAAGAAGGCCUUCGGGUUGUAAAGCCCUUUUGUUGGGAAAGAAAAGCAGCAGGUUAAUACCCCGCUGUUCUGACGGUACCCAAAGAAUAAGCACCGGCUAACUUCGUG
rnacentral:rRNA from 1 species